rnacentral:ncRNA from 5 species
AGAGGUAGUAGGUUGCAUAGUUUU